GACGAACGCUGGCGGCGUGCUUAACACAUGCAAGUCGAACGGAAAGGCCCUGCUUUUGUGGGGUGCUCGAGUGGCGAACGGGUGAGUAACACGUGAGUAACCUGUCCUUGUCUUUGGGAUAACUUCAGGAGACUGGGGCUAAUACCGGAUAGGAGCUCCUGCUGCAUGGUGGGGGUUGGAAAGUUUCGGCGGUUGGGGAUGGACUCGCGGCUUAUCAGCUUGUUGGUGGGGUAGUGUCUUACGAAGCCUUUGACGGGUAGCCCGCCUGAGAGGCUGACCGGCGACAUUAGGACUACGAGACGGCCCAGAAUCCUACGGGAGGCAGCAGUGGGAAAUAUUGCAGAAUGGGGGGAAGCCUGAUGCAGCAACGCCGCGUGCGGGAUGACGGCCUUCGGGUUGUGAACCGCUUUCGCCGGUGACGAGGCGUGAGUGACGGUAAUGGGUAAAGAAGCACCGGCUAACUACGUG
rnacentral:rRNA from 1 species